UAGCUUGGGGCAGCUCACGGGGCAAUGAUUCUGGCCAAUGCCAGGACGACGACAGUAAAGGCUAAAGAACUAAUGGUGUAGACAACAGUGCAACGAAGGUAACAGUGGACGGUUGGAAAAGAAGUAGCGGACACGAUACUGGCUCUACCUCUCUCUAGCUCUCAUGUACAAACCAAAUACCUGGGUAGAUGGAUCCAAUUGGUUGAUUAGUGUGAGAGAGACGGUGGAUUUGAUCUUAGAUGAUGAGUGAAAAAAU
rnacentral:lncRNA from 1 species